CAAAGAGGAAGGUCCCAGUAC
rnacentral:miRNA from 2 species